AAGUGGGAGAAAGACAGAGAGAGAGAUGCGGCGCCGACUGCUUUCCGGCGAGCCCUCCGUCAAACCCAAUUAGCCUCCGCGGCAGCAACACCACGACCACAUGAUGCUUCCUUCAAAAGAGAUAAAGAGAGAAAUAGGAGAAGCAUAGAGUGUGGUAUAAGAGAGAGAUAGAGAACUUCGACAGUUCGACUUAGGGUUCCGACGAACUCCUUUUGAUGGUAAAUCUGUGCAUAUGUAAGGUAAUCAUGAUCUCUUACCACAUCUAUACAUACGAGUUUUGUGAAUAAUGUUUUGACAUUAAUAAUUGUUUCCUUUUCCAAGAAAGUUAGGUUUGAAUGUCUAGAAUUACAAUUUACGAUUGAUUUAUGGAAGUGGGGAUACUUGAUCAGUUGUAUGUAUGUACGAAUUUACUUGGUAAUUCUAAAAACAUUAGGGUAAAUCACCAAAUCAGUUGUAUUUUGAAGCUAACAAACACUAUGUUUUGAUCAAUUAAAAAAUAAUAAAUAGACCUAUGACCCUAGGUGAGUGUUUGAGCUUUUCAGUUGGAGAAGUUGAAGGGUGAAUCCAAUGAUGGCAGAUUAGAGGAAGAGGAGAAGUCAGGAGCAACUUCUACCAUCCAUCAACAAAAAACAGAAGUUGCCGACCUGCACACCGGUUGUUUCACUUAAUGCUUAGUUGAGGUACAAAACUUGUAACUAGAAAAGAGGAGAUUAAUAUAUUGUUAUAGUGCUUUCUGAUCUAAUCUGGUAUAUUACAAGUUUGUAUUACUUAGUGCUUUAAAUUAAUAUCCUAUUUUUAUUUAGCUUACUAUGAUGUCAGAUCUAUCAUUCAUUGCAUUUUGUUACGUUUGAGGGGCGGGGGGGGGGGGGGGGGGGGGGGGGGGGGAGUGCACGGUCCUCCCAACCGCCGGAGUGAUCCCACUCCGUGAGCCGCUACCCGACCAAGCUAGCUCCACGGUGAAUUCCCUUUGCCGACUUCUUACCCUGGGCGACAUAUGCCACUCCCAAGACUCGAACCCGGUAUACACACACGUCAAUAUUUGAAUUUAGUCAUCCUUCUAUGUUCAUUGUAUACUUAAUCAAUGGUAUCAAAAACGUGUUUACAAUGCUAACUUUGGUUUUGCUAAAUGGGUCGCUUCAGGUUGAUAAAUCAAGGGCAUUCUCAAUAAAAGUAACUUAUUCACUGUUUUUAUACUUCUGAUUAAUAUACACAACUUAUCUAUUCUAUAUAAUAUAACAAGGAAGUUGCUUAUAGAUAAUGGAAAGUAUGUUGAAGCUACUAAAGAAGUUGCUUCUUGACUUUAUUUUUUAGCUUGAAUUGAUCAUAUGAGUUAAGGGUGUAUGAAAGUGAUUAUAUGAUGUUGUAUAAUCCAACCAGAUAGUUAUGGGUCGUGGGACAUAAGGUUUGGGCUUUCAAAUAUUUUGUAUUUUAUUCAUCUCAACCAGCUGUAUAAAUAUUUUUUUAACAACAAAUUUUGUUUGAUAUUUGCGAGGUUUGGUUCCUUGAUUCGUGUGUCAAGAUAACUCCAGCAAGAAUCGAGCAUAUCAAGUAGUACAAAUGCCCAGCCUGUACCAACAAGCGAGCGCGCCCUUGAUUGAAUUGCGAAACUAGCAAGGAAUCGGAUGCAUGAGCAAGGAAUUUUGAUGUACUAAGUGUUCUUAACCUCAAGAUAUGCGUCGUAUUAGCAAGGGAUCAAGCAUGGAAAGCUAACGGGUCAAGAGGAGACAAGGAAGGGAAUACGAAAACGGACGCUCAAGGAUCGAGUACAUCAGAUUCUUACGAAAUUUAAGCCCAACCCGGAAUAAGAGGAUGAGUGAUACACGGACUUCUUCUGCUACUUAGGAAGUGAAGCGGACAUAGAUCGAGUCAAGAGCAAGGAUUGCACGGAUAGAUCGAGUAUAGUUGAAAUAUAUAAUGUCUAGAAAUGUAAAUUUUAAUAUGAAUGUUGUGAAUUCUUUUAUAGUACGUUUAACAUUUUAGCUUUUGGAACCUUCUCAAAAGUAAUGUCGUUAACAAGGAAAGA
rnacentral:lncRNA from 1 species